GCUGCUGGCAGGGAGCAGAGCUGCUGCCAGUGUUCACUGCCAAACCCCCUGUGAAAGCCUCUGUCAGAGAAUGGCAAUGGAGGAGCCGGGGAUGGCCCUCAAGGGGCUGCACUUCUGUCUGCAGAUAUGGGGUAAUUUCAGCAGCCACAGAGGGAGGAACCAUGACCUAGCAAAAAUGCAUGUUCCAGGACCAGGGUUCCUUCCUGAGACCUGCUGUCCUACUCACCAAGUCCUGGUUCACAUGCCAAGGCUCAAGGCAGCAGAAAGGCAACACCUAUUGGAGUCUGCUGCCCAUGAAGAGCAAGCCAAGAGACAGCUGUUCCCAUGCCACAAGGAUUUGUGGGUGUUAUUUUUUUCAGAAGAAUUAUGUUUUCAGAAGAGAGCUUUACCAUGGAAUGUACAGACAACAUGAUGCCAGGAACGGCUGCUAGUAUGCUAAAGGAUGCAGUCAGUGAGUGUCCACUACUACACAACUCACAGUUCACAUAGUUUGAUGAUCUUCCACAUUUUUAUGGACUUUCUUUGCCCAUAAACAUCUUGACAACUAUUCCAGAAGCUUAACUAAACAUUGUUCCUGAAAGACAAAGUACAGAAGCCUUCUUCCAUAGUUUCUAAGGAACAUAAAGUCUUAUGCAACACAGUAACUUGUCCAUAUGCUGAGUUUCAUGUGGAGCAUAUUGACAGCCCCUUCUGUUUUGUAACACAUUUGCUGCAUGAAUAGGACAGAUAAUAAAGAUCAGCUAAUUAUCAGCAGCAAUCACAGAUUUUCAAAGUUAUUCCAUCCAUCCACAGGCCCCAGAGCUUCCAGCUCACAGUGGAAAAGGUUGGUACACCUGCUCAGGUCUGGCUGCAGCUCAUUUAAGGGAGCUCAAGAGAUCUCUGCACUUCUCACAAAUUUCAUUCGAGUGAGCACUGGGUACCUGGCAGUCAUAGUCACUUAGAUGCCUUUGAAAACUCUCAACAUGAUUUCCUUUUGUUGGGAGACAGAUUGUUUAAGCACGUAGGCUAAAAGUCUUACCCCGUCUCAAAAACUGUUUGAUACUCUUUCUCAUAUUUAACACUCUCAGUGUAUCAGGGCCAUUUAUUUUGUUAUCUAAACAGGAUCCAGCUGGCACAAAAGUGGAUUCUGAGCUCAUGUGAACCUCUCUCUUAGGAGGUCUGUCCCAUAAUACAUGAGCUGCUCCAGAGUGAGUGGGCUGUGAUGUUGGAUACUGGAGCAUCAAUAUUCUGUUCAGAUUUUCCUGCUUCCAGCCAAGGCUGCAGGAGAGCUAUUCUGGGGCCACUGAGGUCUUGCCCAACAGGGACUUCUGAAUCCAUCGUGCUAAAACAAAAGAACAAAGCACCUGUUGCUGCUUGGUUACGUGGUAGUUAAAAAUCAACGAUAAUGGUAGGGAAGGAUGUGAGCAUAUCCAUCAUUUCUGAAGGCUGUAAAAUACAUGUAUUUACACAUCCAUUUGUUGUGUUCCCACAGUGAUGGGAACAAUACUGCCCUGGCCAGAAACCAGAGCUUCCUUCCCCUUGGGCUCAAUGUUUUUUCACCAACCAUGCUCUCAGAGCCCAGCCUCUGUGCUGCAGCUCAUCUCUGCCUCUCAGGUACAUCAGUACCUGGUGACCCAUCAGCUGAUGAUCCAUGGGCUUUUUUGCAUUCAAGUGUUUCCUGAAGGACUUAAAAACUGUUCUGAAUAGAACAAUAACACGUUUUGUCCUUCACAGGCCCAUGAAAACAUAAGGGGUUUCGCAUUAUGCUAAAGAAAUGUCCGGAACUAGGUCAAAAAGCAGCCUGGCAGAUUCUGCAUGCAAAACCAUAAGGUCUGUGUUUGCAGAUGGGCGUCAGACAACCACUGUGUGAGGAAGUAAAAGUUAGAUCCAAACCACAUGGAGAACAACAGUUCAGACUUUCAUGAGGAACAGAAAAGGAGUGUACUUUAUGGCUUUACUGGAGCCUUGCUGUCUGCUGUGUCCAGAAGUGCAGCGGAGCACCAGCACAUCUAUUCCCUCCUGCAGUCACAGGCACACUCCAGCUAAGCAGGGGAAACACGAAAGCUCCAAAUGCCACAGACGUUUUUGAUUCAACAGCUCUCACAGCCCAAACCCAGUGUGCUCCCUGGAAGCAAAGAGCACACAGCAAACUUACAGGGUAUCUUUGUCGACCUGACAGGUGAAGUUCAGUGGUCACUCAAGAACUUAGAUCCUGCAGAAUCCUGAGGGCAUGGACACCAUGCAAUGAAUGUCUGGCUGAAGUGAAAGAGUCAAAGAGUUGGAGCUCUACCUCUCAACCUGAGAAAUACUAGAGCAACAAAGCACCCAAGCACAUGCUUACAUCAAGAUGAGGUGAAAAAAGAAGCCCGGACUAAGUAGCUGAAACCACAAAAAAAAUGAGAGUUGAUGCUUUCAUCUUGUUUAAGAAAAACAAAUUAAAGCUAUUUGGGAGACCAUCGCAAAGAUAGUUCUGUGAGGAAAAGGAAAAUUGCUGCCUAACUUAGCACCUCCAAGCUCUGUGCAUUUCCAGGAGGAACAGGUAUAAAUAGGUUGGUAGCUGCAUACAGGAAACAAAUACUUUCAUUUACUUGGCCAGCACUCUCUGGAUUUCCACCGGCACUGCUGGAUAUAAAGGGAUCUGACAAAGAAUCAAAGAAAGAUUUUAGUCUGCUAUGUGAUUCUCACAGUAGCCAGAGUAACUAACUCACAUCAGUGUUAGAUCAAAGAAUAGGCAGAUUUUAUCUGUCCUGACAGACCAGUUGCAAGGCAAAAAGACCGGUAUGGAACCCCAUGUAUUUAUAUAACUCCAUGUAUACUCCUGUGUAUUUACUGUAAGAAGACAGAGGUGUUAGGAGAUUAGGGAAAUCCAUACUUCACUUACUUUGAAAAUCUCACUGCAGCCAGUAACUGUUUCUCAUACUAAUGAUGAUAACAGUUCCUUGUUAACACCUUGUUAGCUGAUGAUAACAGCUCCUGUCAAGGAGAAUGUGUAGGGGCCAAGACAUUUGGGAGCCCUGAGGCUGUUGCUGGAGGAGGUGUGUUUGCUUUACCCAGCCCUUACCCGGAUACCAGCUCACACCUCAGAACACAGGCUGAUGUCACUGACCACCUGUGGCAAGUGCCGGAUAAUUGUAUGUCAUGUGUGAUGAGAGCUUCAGUGGAUGGUACAAAGGUGCCACAAGCAGUAUUAACACUGACAUUGCUGGCAUUGGCCACAGGGAACCCCAGCAUUUGACUGCAUCCACCUCUCCAGUUUUCCAAGGCUCAAGUUAUGACUUGUCCUCUCUCAUACAGCAGCUUCUCUUUGUGCUAAUUCUCCUUUGAAACAAUGAAUAUAAAACAAGAGGUGGAUGGAGAGCUCUGUGCAGUGCUAGAAUCAAGCACAGCAGUUAAGGAUGCUGUAUUCUCUUUGCAGCUAUUUCAGUUUACCAUCGGUAAUGUGCACUUCACUCAGAAUGAAAGCAAACCAUACAUGAUAGGAGUAUUUAUGAUGAAGCAUCAAUUAAUACAAGUGGAUUGCCUUCCAGGAGGCACAGAAUAUUAACUGUCCUCCUUCCCCAUGGUCUCUAACACCAUAAAAUACCCUGUACCCUGCAGCACAUAGGAAUUCCAGGCUGUUAAAUGACACACAUGGGCCUGUUAGAUCCCAAUCAGAUUAAAUUAGGCCAUUUUCCAUACAAAUAAAAACAUGGAAGAUAGAACUCUGGGGCAUAUCUAAUUGAGAGUCUGUUCAAGGAAGAUAUUCAUUAUGAGCAUUUCUAUGCAGCAAUGUCUAGGCAUUUAUCAGGCUUCUCUUAUGCUGUGUUUAACUCAACAAUUUCCAUGUCACUGGAAUGAACCAAGGUGGAGAAGGAUCAAAAUUCCAAAGGGAUAAUGUACUGGCCAGCUCAGAGAUCAGAAACAGGGGGUUGUGAGCCAAGAACGACCUUCUCUCAACCAGCAGAGGCUUCUAAGGAAUUCUGAGAUCCUGGAUGCUCCUCACCUGUGUGAGACUUUUCUACAAACUUACCUACAGUCCAUGCUGUGAGCAGUGUGUAUAACAACUGCAUGUACCAAACGCCAUUUAAAUAUUUUGUGUGCUCACUGCAGAAAUUGCAUGUGCAAAGUAUCUAAGUGCACUCAGAUAGGAGAAACUUUUUGGAAGGGACAGAAUCUCUGCCAUAGGCUGCUGGAGUCCUGCAAGAGUCAAGGAACAACCACAGGAUAAAAGUCUGCUUUACACAGGAAUGAACAAAAGCCUGGAAAGACAAGGUAAGAUGGGAUUAUCUCCCAAAAAGUCCUACAGAUUUUUCGGAGGAUCAGGCCAGACAAGUGCCACAGCAGAGACAAGGGAAAAGAGAAGAAAGUCUCCCUUGGGGAUACACUGGAGACAGUAGUGGCAGGAACAGUAUCAGCAAGAUUAAGUGAGGGGUUCUGAGAUACAGAGAAAAAAUACUCUUUAGAAAGGAGAGGGCAGUCUCCAAUGGCCUGUGAAUCAUUACUGGUCUGUGGUGAGCUGGUCCCUCACCUCAUAUAGAGCAAAAGUCAAGGAAAACCAGACAGGGCAGUGUGAUGAACAUCACAGAAGGAGACAAAGCAAUUCUCCCUGGUAAACCAUUGCUCUCUGACAUCUAAGCAAGACACUGCUCUGUUCAUCCAUGAUGUUUCAGGACUUUCCAGCCAACCUCAGGAAAAGGGCUGUUUCUACAAGGGCAGCACUACCAGGGUGCUAGGUCUGACCACCAGUAAGAGUCAUAAUGGGCACAGCUCUGAGUAAGCCUGCCUGUCACUGGGACUGACUGCAGCUGGCAGUCCUUCAGACUGGCACCGAGGCCACUUCAGAUCAAAUUUCACUGUUGAUUUAGAGAGACCUUUGCCAGCAAAUUGUGUCCCACAGUACUCUGCUGAACCAAUUUCCAUUUUGGUCCAUUGCCCACUGCUGUUGUCAGAAAUCCCAAGGAACUGAGGACACGGAGCAGUUUUUUCUGCAAGCCCCACAUCAAAUCUUUCUUCCUCGCCCCUUCAGAUUUGAGCACAUUGUUCCAUUUCAAGAAAGUCUGAAAGAAGGAUGCAAACCUCACCAACAGCUGAUAUCUAAAUAUUUUUCAAUGGGCAGCUAAGCAGAAGCCCCAGUCCAUGUCCAUGCUGAAGGAGGUGGGAAGGAUCCCACAUACUGCAUUUAUCCAGCAUGGAUGUGAAUUCAGACUGACCCACACCAAAUGCUGCCUCUUGGGUUGCUUUUUUCAGGCCUAGAGCUGGCUCUUGGCCAACAUGAGGAGACAUCCAGAAAGCUGCUGCAUUGUGCAGCUGUUCAGGUGGGGCUGGAGUUAUUGAAGUGCAUGGAAAGAAAGGACACAGAGAAGCUGGCAACUGGGCUUCAUUAGUGUGACUGUUGAUGGAACAUGUUAUUUCAUUGCUCAAAAGAAAGCUUUAAUAUUAUUGGAAAGGAUUAAAUUCGCAAGGGAAACCACCAAAAAAUAAAAAGGGAGAUGAAGGAAGAUGUUUUACAUGCUGCCAAUUCAACUCUGAAACAAAAGAAAAUGAAAGAAUAUCCCCAACCAUUUGGAUCCUCAAACAUUAAAUAUAUAAACUUAUUGCUGUGAUAGCUUCUCCAGACAUGAGUCAUACAUUUUGAAACCUUAUGGGGUCAAUCAAUUUAACUUCAUAAAUGAAUUACACCACCAAAACCUGACCAAAACCAGACCAUUGUAUCCAGACUGGCUCAUUUCAACCUUUCAGAGCUGUCAAUAAAACUGUGUGUGAGCUGAAACGCUUACCAGCAAAAGCUGAGAGCAGUAAAUCAAAUUUAAUAGGCUGGUUUUGUUGACUAUACAGGAAUGAUGCCUGAAAAAACCAAUCCAAGCCUGAACUAAUGAAAUUCCUAAAGGAUACACAAAGACUGUUUUAUUUCUACAUGCCUAAUGAUCUGGGUUUCUAUUUGGUUGUUUUUAUGUGCAUAAUCCCCAGAAUUACUAAAUUAAGACCAGCACUUAACAUAUAAAAUAUUUAGAAGGGCUUCCCUGACAAAAGAUCUAGUGCCUCCCUCAAUAGCUGGUUCCUAUAGUUAAUUACUCUCAUUUAUAUUUAAUUUAAAUUUGUGUCCCUUCAUUUCCCAGCAGCUUGAUAUUUUUUAUGCUAUUAUCUGCUACAUUAAAGUGCCCUUCUCUUUCAUUUAUCUUUCCUCCAUGUGGUCAAGUUGCCUUUUAAACUUUUCUUUGAAACAAAUUGACAUUCUUCUGCCUCCCCUACAGACUGUGGCCUCUCAUUGCAUUAUAGCAGGGCUUGGGUUUAAUUUAUUUUACUUUUGCUGGGAUGGCAUGAAGAAUAACAGUGUUUCCAACCUCAUCUUUAUUUUCAGCUGGUUUAUUUCUCUUACAGCAAAUAUAUUGCCAGUAUAUGAUGCCAAAUUGAUAAGAGGAAAACAGAAGUCAGAAUUCUUUACUAUCCAGCUGACCCCAUACUGCCCUCCUCUCCUACAGAGUCCUGUAAAAUCCCCAGCCCGGGUAGAGGUGGUCUCCAUUAAUAUUAGGAAAUAAAUGUUGUACGUCCAGCACUGUGGAAUAAUUGCAGUCAGCAAAUGUCAGCUUCUGUGGCAAAGUCACAAGCCAGCAGAGACCGGGGCUUGCUCCUGCUCUGCAUCAGGAUCAAAUAAAUAAAGUCCAAGCACCAAAUACAGUAUCCAGUGAUCAAUACCUGGAGUCAUCUUGUUCUCUCAGUCAAAAAUAAACCUUCUUUAAGUGCAAGAGUGGCUGUCCAUUCUCCAAAGAAAACUGAAAAGCUGGAGAAGGAGCAAACCCAGCAACUCUAAUUUCACUUUAUAGUCAGCUGUGGUGCUGGUGUUCCUUUAACUCUAUAACAUUGCUUUGGUUAAUCUCUCAAUGGUGCACCCCAAAAAAUAGAAUGACAUCUGCUGUUUAGGAUAGGUUUGGUCCAAUUAUGACUUUUGCAGUAUUUGUGUCUCAUUUCUUUCAAGGAUAUAUAACUUCACUUUUUCUUUUCAAGCUAGAAAAAGAUGACUAUAAAUGUCUUCUGCUGUGAUAUAAAGCUCAA